ACGCUGGCGGCACGCCUUAUACAUGCAAGUCGAACGAAGUAGCAAUACUUAGUGGCAGACGGGUGAGUAACAUGUGGGUAUCUUCCCUUUGGUGAGGAAUAACACGAGGAAACUUGUGCUAAUACCUCAUAAGUCUUUACGGAGAAAGCUUUAUGCGCCAAUGGAUGAGCCCGCACUUGAUUAGUUUGUUGGUGGGGUAACGGCCUACCAAGACAUUGAUCAAUAGCUGAUCUGAGAGGAUGAUCAGCCACAUUGGGACUGAGACACGGCCCAAACUCCUACGGGAGGCAGCAGUAGGGAAUAUUGCACAAUGGAGGAAACUCUGAUGCAGCGAUGCCGCGUGAGUGAAGAAGGCCUUUGGGUUGUAAAGCUCUUUCGUCGGGGAAGAAAAUGACUGUACCCGAAUAAGAAGGUCCGGCUAACUUCGUGCCAGCAGCCGCGGUAAUACGAAGGGACCUAGCGUAGUUCGGAAUUACUGGGCUUAAAGAGUUCGUAGGUGGUUAAAAAAGUUGGUGGUGAAAUCCCAGAGCUUAACUCUGGAACUGCCAUCAAAACUUUUUAGCUAGAGUAUGAUAGAGGAAAGCAGAAUUUCUAGUGUAGAGGUGAAAUUCGUAGAUAUUAGAAAGAAUACCGAUUGCGAAGGCAGCUUUCUGGAUCAUUACUGACACUGAGGAACGAAAGCAUGGGUAGCGAAGAGGAUUAGAUACCCUCGUAGUCCAUGCCGUAAACGAUGUGUGUUAGACGUUGGAAAUUUAUUUUCAGUGUCGCAGCAAAAGCAGUAAACACACCGCCUGGGGAGUACGACCGCA
rnacentral:rRNA from 1 species